UUAAGUUCAGCGGGUAGUCCUACCUGAUUUGAGGUCAAAAUGUCAAGAGUUGUCCCCUAGAGGAUGGUUAGAAGCAAAGCCCCAUAAUAAAGCUGAUUCACUGUAGCGUAGAUAAUUAUCACACCAUAGCUGGUCAACAAAGGUUUCGCUAAUGCAUUUAAGGAGAGCCGACUUCGUGAGAAGCCCGCAACCCCCACAUC
rnacentral:misc_RNA from 1 species